AUUGAACGCUGGCGGCAGGCCCAACACAUGCAAGUCGAGCGAGCGGCGGACGGGAGAGUAAUGGAUGGGGACUGCCCGAUCGAGGGGGAUAACUACUGGAAACGGUGGCUAAUACCGCAUACCAUCAGAUAACCCAUAUGGGAGUAGCUUGUAGGUGAGGUAAUGGCUCACAAAGGCGACGAACCCUAACUGGUCUGAGAGGAGGAUCAGCCACACUGGGCCUGAGACACGGCCCAAACUCCACCGGAGCCACCAGUGGGGAAUAUUGCCCAAUGGGCGCGAGCCUGAUGCAGCCAGGCCGCGUGUAUGAAGAAGGCCCUAGGGUUGUAAGGUACUUUCAGUCGGGGGGCGUUACCGACAGAGGAAGCACCGGGUAACUCCGUGCCGGCAGCCGCGGUAAUUC
rnacentral:rRNA from 1 species